GUGAGGAAUAUUGGACAAUGGGUGGAAGCCUGAUCCAGCCAUCCCGCGUGUAGGAUGACGGCCUUAUGGGUUGUAAACUACUUUUAUCUGGGGAUAAACCUACUUACGUGUAAGUAGCUGAAGGUACCAGAAGAAUAAGCACCGGCUAACUCCGUGCCAGCAGCCGCGGUAAUACGGAGGGUGCAAGCGUUAUCCGGAUUUAUUGGGUUUAAAGGGUCCGUAGGCGGAUUAAUCAGUCAGUGGUGAAAUCUCAUAGCUUAACUAUGAAACUGCCAUUGAUACUGUUAGUCUUGAGUGAUGUUGAAGUUGCUGGAAUGUGUAGUGUAGCGGUGAAAUGCUUAGAUAUUACGCAGAACACCAAUUGCGAAGGCAGGUGACUAAACAUUAACUGACGCUGAUGGACGAAAGCGUGGGGAGCGAACAGGAUUAGAAACCCUAGUAGUCC
rnacentral:rRNA from 2 species